rnacentral:rRNA from 1 species
CCUACGGGUGGCAGCAGUCGAGAAUCAUUCACAAUGGGGGAAACCCUGAUGGUGCGACGCCGCGUGGGGGAAUGAAGGUCUUCGGAUUGUAAACCCCUGUCAUGUGGGAGCAAAUUAAAAAGAUAGUACCACAAGAGGAAGAGACUGCUAACUCUGUGCCAGCAGCCGCGGUAAUACAGAGGUGUCAAGCGUUGUGCGGAAUCACUGGGCGUAAAGCGUGCGUAGGCUGUUUCGUAAGUCGUGUGUGAAAGGCGCGGGCUCAACCCGCGGACGGAACAUGAUACUGCGAGACUAGAGUAAGGGAGGGGGAACCGGAAUUCUAGGUGUAGCAGUGAAAUGCGUAGAUAUCGAGAGGAACACUCGUGGCGAAGGCGAGUUCCUGGACAUUAACUGACGCUGAGGCACGAAGGCCAGGGGAGCGAAAGGGAUUAGAUACCCGGGUAGUC